AAGAUAGAUAUAUUUUCUUCUUUGACUGGUUCAAUUAGUAUUAUAUCAAAGGCUUCGAGGAAGCUAGUCCUGAAAUGUAAGAAACUAUGAUUAAAAGAAUUACUGAAUCAUGAAAAUUUUGUGAAAGUUUUAAAGCUGAAUCUAUUUUCAAGAUAACUUAAGUUCAAAAAGAGAGAAAUACCAAUUCAAUUAAGAUUUUUACCAA
rnacentral:lncRNA from 1 species